rfam:Myotis davidii contig40111, whole genome shotgun sequence.
GGUGGUUCUUGGGUGAUGCACCCUGGAAUGGGUCUCCCUCCUCUCUGGUUCUGGGUGCAUCACCUGAGAACCACC